GACGAACGCUGGCGGCGUGCUUAACACAUGCAAGUCGAACGAUGAACCCGGAGCUUGCUCCGGUGGAUUAGUGGCGAACGGGUGAGUAACACGUGAGUAACCUGCCCUUGACUCUGGGAUAACUGCGGGAAACUGUAGCUAAUACCGGAUACGACCCUCGGCGGCAUCGCCAGGGGGUGGAAAGAAUUUCGGUCAAGGAUGGACUCGCGGCCUAUCAGCUAGUUGGUGAGGUGACGGCUCACCAAGGCGACGAUCGGUAGCCGGCCUGAGAGGGGGACCGGCGACACUGGGACUGAGACACGCCCCAGAGGCGAACGGGAGGCAGCAGUGGGGAAUAUGGCACAAUGGGCGCAAGCGUGAGGCGGCGACGCCGCGUGUGGGAUGACGGCCUUCGGGUUGUAAACCUCUUUUAGUAGGGAAGAAGCGAAAGUGACGGUACCUGCUGAAAAAGCACCGGCUAACUACGUGCCAGCAGCCGCCGUAA
rnacentral:rRNA from 1 species